CCCCGCUUCCACGGGGUCUUUAGGCGGCCGGCCCGGCUGCCCCGCGGCUCAGCGGGCCCCAGCACAGGCCCGGGCCGGCCACGGCGGCCAGCGAGGCGGGACGGCGGCGCGGCCUCGGAGCCUGACGGCGGGGCUCCCGGGCCCGUCCCGCCACCAGGCUGCGCCCGCCCGGCCCAGCGGCGCCACCGCCCACGGACAAUGGCGGCGGCCGGGGCCCCUCGGCAGCUCCGGGCGCCGCCGCUCCCCCUGCCGCCGGCUCACCUGCAGGCCGCCGCCUCCGCCCGGCGCGCUCCGAGCCCGGCCUCAGCACCGGCCCCCAGGCCCGCGGCGCCCCGGGGCCCAUCCGACGCGGCGCUCGGGCCGGAAGCGCCCUGACGCCCUUCCGGGGAGGGGCUCCGAGCAGCCGCGCCGCCGCGGGCCGCCGCCUCGCCCGGGGGAGCGGCCUUCCGCCCGGUGCCGCCCUGGCGGCCGGGAAGAACUAGUGCCCCCGAGCGCCCGGCCCGCCGCGGCCUGGGGGCGGGGGGCGGCGCGGCCGGCUGGUGCCUGCGUGGCCCUCGGGCGGCCGGCGGCGCCUGGUGCCCCGAGCCCCGCCGGGAGCGUGGCCGCCGCCGCGCUCGGGGCCCUGGGCCUUGCCCGAGCUCUCGUCGCGGUCAGGCGGCUCCGAGGCCUUGCUUGGCCCUCCUCAGGGCCGCGCGCCCCUCGCAGCCAUCCCGGGGGCCCGGUGAGUUGGUGAAUGGAACCUCAUGAAACAGAAGCCACAGGUGCUAGUAGUGGUCCUCAGACUUUAUUAUGCUCAUACUCACUUGGGGGGCAUGUUGAGGCAUGCCUCCUGCCCCCCUGCCCGGAGCUUCAGAUUCAGUGCGGGGAGGUGGAGCCAAGGAAGAUGCCUUGUAACGGGUUCCCAAUGCUGCUGGACUGUGACCCCACUCAGAGCCCCUGCUCGUGGCAGCGGCCCUCCACCAGAGGCUGUUUUCUCCCCAAGAACCUGGCCCAGAAGAGGGGUUUUGAGACCAGGAGACAGGCACUGGCUUUCGGCAGCUGGGGCCCAGGUGAGGGACCGGUCCCAUGUGAGGACAGAGCCGUAUCCCUCUGUCAGGAAGGACAGACGCACGUGGGCUUUGCACAGAGGGCCCUCUACAAGGGGGUGACAUGGAAGAAGGACAGAAAGAACUCUCUGGGUAAGGAGGUCCCGUCCCACAGGUCCAGGCUGGCUGUGUUCAUUUGCUAAGAGAGAGACAUAGACCAGAAGAUGCAAGAAAGAAGGCCACAGGCAGGAGUGUGGAGACUGUUGGGGCGAGGGAAGCAGGAGACAAACAGGGAGAGUCUGAGCAUAGGAAGGACACGCAGACUGCAGGAAAGGUAAAGCUAGGCGCCAGAGGGGUGAGGACAGGGCGGACAGCACCUGUGACAGCGAGCGGGAACAAGGCGGGGGCAGGAUGCAGGAAGCAAUGGGGACUGAGUGCGGAGGUAAAGCCUGGGGCCGCGUGUAGCUGGGACAAACAAGGCACCAUCCGAGGGACACCACAGCGACGCGAGUGAACGUGCGCUCACACACCUCGGAGAGCAUUCCCGAUGGGCAGGAGUGAGCCUGGCAUGCACCUGAGCUGUGCUGCUGUGCUACUAGGCCCAGACCUUCAGGAGGCAGCCAGCCCUUGCAGGGUGUCACACCAGGAGAGCCACACGCCCUCAGGAAUUACCCCAACUGUGGACAUGGGCGAGCACCACAGGUCACACAGGUCACCUCACGAGAAAUGGGGGGGAGGGGAUUCAGGAGAAAGAGAAACAAAAGGGCGGCUCUGGUAAAUACUCCACAACCCCUUAUCAUCAGAGGAUGGCCUUUCCACUCUGCUGAACGUCUGUGUUUCAGGAGAGGAGCCCACUGUGCUGGCUUCCCAGGGAUGGCAGCUCAGUCGUGGCAGAGCUGCACAAACCAUGUGUCACCUCCUGGGCUGCUAACCUUACUUACCGUGUGGGAUGCAGGCCCCUGUAUGUCAUCGUGUCCCCUGUCUUUGUACAGCAGGCGGGCCCUGCGGCAAUGCACCCAAGCCAGUCUU
rnacentral:lncRNA from 12 species